UCCCAAUCAAAAUUUAAACAUUCUUCCUAAACCUAAUUUAUCUCUCAUUCUCUUCACACACACACAUCACACACACAGAUUCUAGAGAAUCUUCUACAGCUCAACUCAUAUGUAUGUAAUUGAACUUCAAUGUAUAGCGGUGCAACUGACGUUGAAGGCCACAAUGCAUCGUUGGUGGCGUCUCAGAGGACUCCACGGCGUCUUCUAUGCUGUUGGUUCGUAACCUCUGCCUACAUCAGAUCUGGUGCCAGUCUCGUCUCUCAAGUUGUCAUGGGACAUGUAAAGGCAACCUCCAACACAGAAGAAGCUAGAAGCCAAGGAUCCUCCUAACUUCUCUAUUGUAUAAAGAUCGCUGGACAAAAUUAUGAAAUCAACCAAAUUUCUUCCAAUAGAACAUUUGUACCGUAUACUUUGUUGUUAUUUUGACCCGAACCUAAUUAGAAAUAAAAACUUUCUGUACAGGGGCAAUUUUUAUUUUAAAGGUUUUAAGACUCUGGGUGGCUUGUGACAAAUUGCAUAUUUAAAUCACAUUUUCUCGACAUGUGCUCUUAAUUCAAUCUCAGAUGUGGCACGACACAGAAGAGGCUACGGAUAAUGAUAUAGAGAUUUUGUUGAAGACGUUGAUGCUGAAUUUUUUUCAAGAGUUAAGUAUUCCGUUAGUUUAGCUUUAUUUAUAGAUUUUAGAAUUGUACGUAGCUUAUGUAUGAAAUUUAAUGUCGUUUGUUAUACAUUUAGCA